rnacentral:rRNA from 1 species
GACGUAGGGUGCGCGCGUUGUCCGGAUUUAUUGGGCGUAAAGAGCUCGUAGGCGGCUCGUCGCGUCGACCGCGAAAACCCGCGGCUUAACUGCGGGCUUGCGGUUGAUACGGGCGGGCUAGAGUUCGGUAGGGGAGACUGGAAUUCCUGGUGUAGCGGUGAAAUGCGCAGAUAUCAGGAGGAACACCGGUGGCGAAGGCGGGUCUCUGGGCCGAUACUGACGCUGAGGAGCGAAAGCGUGGGGAGCGAACAGG